rnacentral:rRNA from 1 species
AUGGCCGGACGCUGCAUGUACUCUGGCUUCAUGCCCAUCGCGACUCGAGCCUCCUGCUCCACGGCAUCCGCGCGCUCUCUUGCCGGCCGCCUUCUGCGCGUCUGCUGCUAUCUACGCCGCCGCCAACUACUACUGCUACUAGCUGCUGCGACAGUUGCUGCCGCUCCACCCCCAGGCAGACAGCACGGCUUCCCGGGCGGGCAUGCCCCCGUGCUCGCGCCCCUCCUGCUCUGCUUCGGCCACUCUGCCUCGUGCGCCGACUCGCCCCUGCCCGCAGUCGCGUCGCCUCCAGUCCGGCUGCUCCUCGUCGUCGCGCCUGUCCGACUUGCCGCACUGGGUCCUCCGCCCCGGCUGGCCUGCCCCCUCGCGCGCCGGCAGGCCCUCUGCUGCUCUCCUCCACGGCCCUCCCCGGGCCGGCUCCGCGUCUCCCCAGCCGGACCCGGCCUCCCGCGCCUCGGCCGCCUCCACGCACCCGGCCGGCCUGGCCGGCUGCCGGCCCUUUCGCGUCCCGCGCGCGGCCGCCUCCCUGCGCCCGCAGAUGCGCGGCCACGCCUGGCCGCCUUCGCUUCGCGCACGCGCCGUACUCGCCUCUGCGCCCGCUCGCCGGCUUCUCCGCACGCCGGCCUCGGACCGGCUCCUCAGCGUCGCGCCGGGUCCUCGACGCCACGUCCCCCGCCCCGCGGUCACGUGCCCCGCUCCUGCUGGCUCCGCCCCGCGGCCGCGUGCCCCGCGCCGGCCGGCUUUGCCUACCUCCACCAACCAGAGCCGGCUGCCGCCCGUCGCCGCUCUCAUUGCUGGGCCUCACGCGCCGCUCCGCCUGGCCGCGUCGCCCUCGCCAGGCCGGCUCCCCCAGCGCCUGGUCCUCCUCGCCUUGCCGCCUGGCCGGGUCGCCGCCUCCCGCUGGCCCCGUCCGACUCCGACCGAGGCCGCCUGCGCCUCCGCGCGCCGUGCCGGCUCCCCGGCUGCGCUUCUGGCCAGCCGGGUCGCGCUCCUCCGCUGCCGGCUCCCGGGUACAACACCCUGUCCGGCUAUGCCGCGUGCGCCCCCGCCGGAUCCCGCUCUAGCCACCUGCUGUGGCCAGCGCCUAAAGAAAAGAAGCAGAGGCCGGCUUAA